GUUGACAGUAAUGAUAGUAAUGAUAGUAAGCCUACCUUUUUGUGGGCCCUAAACACUGAUGAGACCAAUCAGUUUUGGAUCCAUUAUUUAUAUCAAUUAACUGUUGUCAUUAAUUUAAUAGGCAUAUUUUUUGUUAUUAUUGGAGUCGUUUCAAUAAUUUAUGGUCUAAAUUAUCUGUGGAUAUUUGCCUGUAUUAGUUCAAUGCAUUGUUGUGCAGUCUAUUUAUAUUAUUUAGGUAUUAUAAAAGGCCAUCAAUUAUAUUUCAAUAUAUUUAUUGGUGUCAAUACUCUAUGGUUAGGAUUAGCCAUCACUUAUUUUAUGUGCUUUAUAUUUGUCGUUAAUAAUAACAACCGAUUCCGUUAUGAUCUGUUAUUUCACGCCGUCUUUAUUGUCUACUAUUUCCUAACUCUAACCGUUGAUGUCAUGGCAUUAGUAAUAACAACUAAAGUCUUGAAAUUUUUGAACAGAAAUCAAUCGACCGGACAAUCAUCCGGACAAUCAUCCGGACAGUCAUCCGGACAAUCGACAGAACC